AUAGAUAAGCAACAAAAUUAGUAGGUGAGAAACAGAAGAGUAUUACUAUAUAUAUACUUAGGCUGUAUUUGGUUGGAGAACUAAAAUUUAAAAAACAAUUUUUAUUGUUCUCGAAAAAAAAAAUAUAUUUCUACACAAAAUAGAACAAUUAGAAAUUUUCGUUUGGAUGCAUUCGGAGAUAUUUUAGAGGAUAUCCUUAGUAGCGUUUGGAUAAAAAAUCAAGAAUAAUGUCUAAAUAUAUUUUCAAAAAUAAAAUAAUUAAUCUAUAUUAGUAUAUUUAUAUAAAAUUAUUUACAAAAUUAUUUCAUAUAGUAAUUUAUAAUAUAAUAUUUUAUGUAACAAUUUAAUUUAAAAUAGUAUAUUUAUUUUAUUAUAUAUAAUAAUUCAUUUUAUGUAAUUAUUUAUUAUAUAUAAAUUAUUCAUAAUAUAUGUAAUGAAUAAAGUAUAGUACUAACAAUAUUCUUAUAAUUUUAACUAAUAAUAGUAUAAAUUUCAAUACAAAUUAAAAAAAAUAUAUAUAAUACAUAAAAAAAUAAUUUUUUAUAUAUAAUACUUAAUAUAAAAAAUAAUUAAAUAUUAAUAUAUAAUGAAAAAACUUAAUAAAAUAAAUAAUAUAUCAAAUUUAAUUAAUUUAUAUUAUAUAAUAAAAUUUAAGUAUAAAUAUAUUAUUAUUAUAAAAAUAAUAAUAUUUAUAUUAAUAUAUUUAUUUAUAUAUCCAUUUAUCUACUAAAAUAUAGAGAAGAAUAAAAUUGUUCUCAGUUCAAUUCCCUUAGGAACAGUUUUUAACAAAUUGGACCGUCCAGAACAACCGAGAAUAAUUCAUUCUCCGCAGUUCUCCUACCGUUUAGUUACAAAUUGGGAAAUAUCUCAUUUUGUUUCGAGAUAUCCCUUCUACCAAACGCAGUCUUAAAGUGGAUGUGUAAUUUAAAUUAUUUCAAUUUUUUUUGUUAUAUAUAGUAAUUUAAUUAUCUUCUUAUUUUUUAAACUAAAAAAAUAUAUUUACAUUUUUUAUGAGUUGAAGGA
rnacentral:lncRNA from 1 species